ensembl:lncRNA
UGGCAAAGAGCUGGCAUAAUGCAUUUCACCUCUCCUCAAACAUUUGUUAAGGGCUCAUCACGCUGCACUAUUUCUUCCCCUUGCCUUGGAUCAGCCUCUUGAGAAAUCAUUUAGCGUCACACACCCGUUCUCCACCCCCCACUAAUCAAAGAGCCUUUGCACAGUACUACAGACACUGCUUCCAUGUCUCAAAAGCACUAACAAUGCAGAUUUUUUUUUUUUUUUUUGAUUGAAGUCCACUACAGCAGUUCUCCUUUAUCGCAAACUCAAGAUUACUCAACUGCAUUUGGAAAAGAUGCAGGCACCCUCCACGGCACACAUUUGGGAUUGAGUAGAUUCCAGGGGACUAUUCCCAAGAUUAAGCACGUGUGCACACACAAAUCAAGGUCAUGGUAUCUUACACUGACUGUUGGCAGUGUUCGGACACUCUGAUUAAACACUGAUCACAAAUAAAGCCAUUCUACAGUAUGCUUCGUACGGGUUAUCAGCCUGAGGAGAAUUUGGAGCCAGGCCAUUGGUUCAGAAACUCUGUGCCAACAAAGGAGUAAAAGCAAUGUUCAAGGCGUUGAACCAGCCAAAGGACGGUUACCCCACAUCCUUACCAACCACCUCACAACUGCUGGCAGGAAGACAAGUGCCUUACUGAGUGCUAUCAACAGCUCAAGGUAGAGCAAUUACAAGCACCUAACUGUAUCAGGAGUUCAAUCAGUUACUAGAUUCACCCUUUGCACCCUUGUGCAAAGAGUAAAUCUGCAUCUA